AUGACCCUUAUGUCCUUUAAGCCUAGGGUUUCCACCAUCAAUCUCACCCCAAUCUCCGCCACCACCACCAUCAUCGCCGUCCAUGUCGUCGAUGGCCAAGAUCGCUCGCACUAGUCAACAGAUCAACGGCCAUAUUUUGCCCCACCCUUGUCCCCACCUGGCCGAGUUCCGGGCCAAGAACGGCUCCAAGCCCUUCCGAGCAUUACAGGACUGUCUCCGAGUCAAGCCGCCGAGUGGCCGAGCUUCCAUCCGCCGCGAUCCCAAGGAGUUACCGCGCUGCGGCGCUUGCGGCGAGUCCGCGCGUCCGAGGCUCUACGCCUGCAUCACGUGCGCCGCUGUGCACUGUCACGUGCCUUCCGGACCCUCCCAUGCGGCUGCUCACGCCUAUUUGAUGCCUCCGGGUCACGAGAUCGCCGUCGACGUGGAUCGAGCCGAGCUCUUCUGCUGCGCCUGCAGGGACCAAGUCUAUGACCGCGACUUCGACGCUGCAGUUGUCCUGGCUCAGACCGCUGCGUCGACCCUGACCUCCUCGGACACGUCAGCGAUCCAACAGUACGCGCCGGAGAAUCUCCGGAAACGACGCCGUAUCGAUUACAAGCCAUGGAUACCGGAUCUGAGAGAGAAAUACUUGGUGGGGAAGAAUUCGAGUCCGUUGAAUGGCGACGUCUCGGAUUUGCCUUGGGGAUUGCGCGGGCUCAACAAUUUGGGAAACACGUGUUUUAUGAACUCGGUUCUUCAGGCAUUGCUCCAUACGCCGCCGUUGCGGAACUACUUCCUCAGCGAUCGGCACAACCGCUACUUUUGCCAGAAGAAGAGCAAUGCCGAUAAUACCAGUAAGAAAACUGCCGCCAAUAAUAAUGAAAGUGGCGGGAACAAGAGUGCUGCGCGCAUGUGCUUGGCUUGCGACAUGGACGCCGCAUUCUCGGCUGUUUUUUCAGGGGAUCGGACGCCCUAUAGCCCUGCAAAGUUCUUGUACAGUUGGUGGCAGUACGCGGCGAAUCUGGCAAGUUAUGAACAGCAGGAUGCGCAUGAGUUCUUCAUUUCUAUGCUUGAUGGGAUUCAUGAGAAGGUGGAUAAGGAUCCGCGGAAACCUGAGAGCCAAGGCAAUGGAGAUUGUUGUGUUGCUCAUAGAGUUUUUUCUGGUAUCUUGCGAUCUGAUGUUAUGUGCAUGGCCUGUGGUUUUACGUCUACAACAUAUGACCCAUGUGUGGACAUCUCACUGGAUUUGGAACCUAACCAAGGAGGUUCUGCAAAGACAAUGUCCACGAAGUCAAGUUAUUCUUGCAACGGCGAGGCAGAUUGCAUGAAUUCCAGCCAAAACUGUGGGGUAUCUACCCUUAUGGGAUGCUUGGACCGUUUUACACGACCUGAGAGAUUGGGCUCUGACCAGAAAUUUUUUUGCCAGCAGUGUCAGGUGAGGCAGGAGUCUCUCAAGCAAAUGUCAAUAAGAAAGCUUCCUUUGGUUUCUUGCUUCCAUAUAAAACGAUUUGAGCAUUCUUCAGUGAGGAAGAUGUCAAGGAAGGUUGACCGCUAUUUGCAGUUCCCAUUUUCGCUAGACAUGGCACCUUAUCUGUCAUCUUCCAUCUUGAGGAGUAGAUUUGGAAAUAGGAUUUUGCCAUUUGGAGGGAAUGACCCAGAUGCUUCAAACGAAUUAUGCUCAGAGUUUGAAUUGUUUGCUGUGGUCACUCACACAGGCAAGCUAGAUGCAGGCCAUUAUGUAACUUACUUGCGAUUAAGUAAUCAGUGGUACAAGUGCGACGAUGCUUGGAUCACACAAGUUAAUGAGAAUAUUGUGAGGGCAGCACAAGGCUACAUGAUGUUUUAUGUACAGAAAAUGCUAUUUUACAAGGCAAGUGAGAAACGGGGUCCUGCAUGAUACGCUGGUGAGAGUAUUGAUGAACUUUUGCUGCUUGAGACGAAAGAUGGAAAAGAAAGAAAAAAAAAAGGACUAAUAUUGAAAUGGAAUUCAUGGCCAGUGCCAGUCUUGUUUGCCGAGAAAACAAAUUUGAAGGAAUUGCUUUUGGCGCUGGUUAAAAAGAGGUGAGUAGCUCUCUGUGUGCUUAGAGCUCACGGAGGACGCCUCCCAUCCCAGUGGUUGGUAAGUGGUAUUCCUGAUUCUCAGAUGGGGCAUAGUGAGCCUGAAUUUUUGGGGCAGUCUUGCAUUUGGGAAAUAUGAUCUAUGAUAGAUAUUGGACCCAUUCAAGUAUUUGUGAAGGUUGAUUCUAUAUAUUAGAAGGGAAGGCACCAGUCUCUUUAUUUGAAUCAUAUACAAACUAGAAAAAUAAAAAUAUUAACAAAGAAUCUUUUUAUUUGGGUAAAAUCUGAAACUUAAGGUGAAACAAAAAUUAUGAUUAGGUUUAGGGAUUCCAUAUGUAAAUGUAGCGGCUCGGAUCCUGUUGCUCAUAUCAAUUCAAUUGGCAUAAUAUGA